rnacentral:rRNA from 1 species
UACGUAGGGGGCUGGCGUUGUCCGGAAUCAUUGGGCGUAAAGCGCGUGUAGGCGGCCCGGUAAGUCCGCUGUGAAAGUCGGGGGCUCAACCCUCGAAAGCCGGUGGAUACUGUCGGGCUAGAGUACGGAAGAGGCGAGUGGAAUUCCUGGUGUAGCGGUGAAAUGCGCAGAUAUCAGGAGGAACACCCAUUGCGAAGGCAGCUCGCUGGGACGUUACUGACGCUGAGACGCGAAAGCGUGGGGAGCAAACAGG